rnacentral:rRNA from 1 species
AGAGUUUGAUCCUGGCUCAGGACGAACGCUGGCGGCACGCUUAACACAUGCAAGUCGAACGAGAGAAGAGGAGCUUGCUUUUCUGAUCUAGUGGCGGACGGGUGAGUAACACGUGAGCAAUCUGCCUUUCAGAGGGGGAUACCGAUUGGAAACGAUCGUUAAUACCGCAUAAUAUAAUUGAACCGCAUGAUUUGAUUAUCAAAGAUUUAUCGCUGAAAGAUGAGCUCGCGUCUGAUUAGCUAGUUGGUAAGGUAACGGCUUACCAAGGCGACGAUCAGUAGCCGGACUGAGAGGUUGAUCGGCCACAUUGGGACUGAGACACGGCCCAGACUCCUACGGGAGGCAGCAGUGGGGAAUAUUGCACAAUGGAGGAAACUCUGAUGCAGCGAUGCCGCGUGAGGGAAGAAGGUUUUAGGAUUGUAAACCUCUGUCUUCAGGGACGAAAAAAGACGGUACCUGAGGAGGAAGCUCCGGCUAACUACGUGCCAGCAGCCGCGGUAAUACGUAGGGAGCGAGCGUUGUCCGGAAUUACUGGGUGUAAAGGGAGCGUAGGCGGGAUCGCAAGUCAGAUGUGAAAACUAUGGGCUUAACCCAUAAACUGCAUUUGAAACUGUGGUUCUUGAGUGAAGUAGAGGUAAGCGGAAUUCCUAGUGUAGCGGUGAAAUGCGUAGAUAUUAGGAGGAACAUCAGUGGCGAAGGCGGCUUACUGGGCUUUAACUGACGCUGAGGCUCGAAAGCGUGGGGAGCAAACAGGAUUAGAUACCCUGGUAGUCCACGCCGUAAACG